UGCCACCCUCACCUUGCUUCUUCGGGGCAAACUUCUCAGGAGGGAGUUUCACAUAUGUAUUCUGAAUUCCAUAGAUUUCAUCAAUCAGCCCUUCGUAUGUCAGCUGUGUGGCUAACGGUGUCAGCAGAUCAACAUUGCGGUCCAGCAACAAGAGGGUAUCAAAGACUGGAAAUAUUGAGUUCUGGCUUCCAGGGAACUCACGCUUCAUUCUGAUCAUCAUGUUAGCUACGUGCUGAAAGGAAAACACAUUGGUCUGGUUGUGGUACAAGCCAUGACAGAUGGAUUUGACUUCUAGGCUGUAUAGGCAUGUGCAAAUAUGGGGGCACGAUCCUGUAUAAAGGAAGAGAACAAGAGGUACAAACUGGCUGUCAGGUGGGGGCAGGACAAGGCAAGAAAAUCAGAGCCCUUUGCUGCUACUCUCUGCAGCUUAGCAGGGCAGCAACUGUGGCCAAAGCACUGGCUUCCUCUCAAGCUGCUUCCUCAUUACAAAAGGUACCAGUUAAACUAUAGGUUAAUCAGAGAGGAAAAAGGGAGAGAAGGAAAAGACAGUGCAUGAGCAGUAGACUGUACAUUUACAGCUUUAUUCAGCCCUGAUGGUAAUGGAGUGGGUAAGCGUUAAAUUCCAUAGAAGGAACUGCUGAAAGCACAAAGGUAGCGCACUGAUGAGCAAAACCUAAAAUCAGAUAACCCUGACAGGAAGCCUUACGAAACAGCAAUAAUUAUCCUUUUGACCACAGAUAAUGACAACCUGAUGGCUGUGAUCCUGAAAUUCCAAUAUUACAAGAAUACAUGUCUGGAUUCAAAAACAAACUCCACAGAUGACAUUCAG
rnacentral:lncRNA from 1 species